rnacentral:rRNA from 1 species
UACGUAGGGGGCAAGCGUUGUCCGGAAUCAUUGGGCGUAAAGCGCGUGUAGGCGGUUCGGUAAGUCCGCUGUGAAAGUCGGGGGCUCAACCCUCGAAUGCCGGUGGAUACUGUCGGACUAGAGUACGGAAGAGGCGAGUGGAAUUCCUGGUGUAGCGGUGAAAUGCGCAGAUAUCAGGAGGAACACCAAUUGCGAAGGCAGCUCGCUGGGACGUUACUGACGCUGAGACGAGAAAGCGUGGGGAGCAAACAGG